rnacentral:rRNA from 1 species
UACGUAGGGGGCAAGCGUUGUCCGGAAUCAUUGGGCGUAAAGAGCGUGUAGGCGGCUCGAUAAGUCGGCUGUGAAAGUCAAGGGCUCAACCCUUGAAUGCCGGCCGAUACUGUCGAGCUAGAGUCCGGAAGAGGCGAGUGGAAUUCCUGGUGUAGCGGUGAAAUGCGCAGAUAUCAGGAGGAACACCAAUGGCGAAGGCAGCUCGCUGGGACGGUACUGACGCUGAGACGCGAAAGCGUGGGGAGCAAACAGGAUUAGAAACCGGGUAGUCC